AGCGCUUGGAUGAGCUUCUGACGGGUUUUACCGCGGCUACAGCACAGCAAGUUGCAGAUGCUGAGCCUACAGUCCUGGCAGGUGGAACCUUGGCCUGAAGGACCUUGAGAAUUCAGGAAGGCUCAUGUGUCUCCAGAAACUGGAAUAAUACAAUCAAACUGGAAUCCAGUCUGUGGUUUUCACAGGAUAAAAAGGAUGACUCAUUUGGGAUAGGAACUGCAGCAGCACUCUCCGUUCAGGACUAAGAGAGGCGGGGAUGUCCUCACCCACAGCCCCUACGUGGCCGUUCUGAGCUGCCAUCAUGAGCGGUGUUUUCCCUGCGUGAUCCGCAGCGUUCACUUGUGCGCUGUGGCUCAGGAGGAGCUGGAGGCACUCCACGUGGUCGGCGAAGGCUGCGGCGUGAAGGGGCGUUCUGGGGGAAAGGAACACGGCCACAGCUUUUGCUAAAGAAUCGCAAGAGUCCCGUGUGCCCACCUUCCCAAAAACCACAAAGUGCAAUUUUUUUUUUUUCCCCGCGAAACUUAAAGUUAUCACCAGGAGAAAGUUAUAGUAGCAGCAUCUUAAACAUAUCCUAAAGCAACAUCUGCAUUUGUUACUGGAGAUUUCUACUUACACAGCACAGUGCAAUGGAGAGAAGCUAUUACCAUAGAAUUUGUGGAAAAGUUUUUGUUCCAAUAGUACCUCUAUGCAGUUUUCAUGACCUAUAAGAGAUCAGAUAUUUCACAGUGUUGCACAAAGCAGAGGCCACUGCUACCCUGUACGGAGCUCCUCCAGGAACAGCAGAGGAGAC